rnacentral:rRNA from 1 species
UACGAAGGGGGCUAGCGUUGCUCGGAAUCACUGGGCGUAAAGCGCACGUAGGCGGAUUGCUAAGUCAGGGGUGAAAUCCUGGAGCUCAACUCCAGAACUGCCUUUGAUACUGGCGAUCUCGAGUCCGGGAGAGGUGAGUGGAACUGCGAGUGUAGAGGUGAAAUUCGUAGAUAUUCGCAAGAACACCAGUGGCGAAGGCGGCUCACUGGCCCGGUACUGACGCUGAGACGCGAAAGCGUGGGGAGCAAACAGG